rnacentral:lncRNA from 1 species
AUCAACUUCAAAGGUAAGGGGGUUAGUGAUUAUCAUAAUCAUGUGUAAUUGCAUAUUCUCAUGUUAUAUGAAAAUGGAUUGAUGAACAAUUCAUGUUAAAUUCGUGCUCUUGCUGUGAUGUUAUGUUUGUAUGCAUGAAUUGAUGUUAGUUGUAUGAUUGUUGGUGAAAUUACAUGUUCAUAUAUGCAAAAAUGAUAAGUUAUGAAUAUUGUGCUCAAUUGGUGAAUUUCUUCUAAGUUGUUGUUGAUUUGAGAUGUGAGUCUUGUUCAAAUGAUGUUAUGAAUGUUAUUUGAUAUUAUGAUUGAUGAAUAAUUGCUUGGGUUUGCAUAUUCAUGGAUUGAUGAUGAGGAUUUGAAUUGUGUUGGUGUUUUGGUGAAAAUGAUGAGUUAGCUCAAAUGUCAAGUGUUUUCAAGUUUGAUCGUGUCUUUGUGAGUCUUUUUAGUCAUAUUGACCUAUAAACAUGUUCUGGAAACACAUUUGGGCAUUGAGGGAUCAAAAUUUGGGUUUUGGGGUAAAACAUGGUUCAAACCCGUGAAAAAUUAUGCAGAAAUGAUGACUGUUCGCUUAAGCGAAUCGGAAGCGAGCUGUAAGCGAACAGCUGCUGUAAGUAUUUCGCUUAAGCGAAGAACCGUUCGCUUAAGCGAAAUGCCUUUUGACAGCAUUUCUAAUUUCGCGUUCUUGUGUCUUUUUCAUACGUUUCUGUUUUGAAUUGGACUUUGGUGUAAACAUGAAAGUUGUAGAUAACUUUGUUAGCUUUCUAAUGGCUUUGGUUUGACGUCCAAAUGAUUUUUAGAACUUGAGUUAUGAUUAAAUUACUACACAUGGGUCAUGUGGAUUUUUGUGAAAACUUAUCAUAACUUUUUCUUUGAGCUGUGGAACUUUUCCAAACUUGAUAUUGUGUUUAAUGAAGUACUUAGAGUGAAUAAUUGAGUAUGCAUUUAUGUAUUUGGAAAUGUGAAUUUGUUGAUGGUUUGAGAUAUAAUUUUGAGUGGAAAGGGUUCCAAACCCAUAACUUUUUCUACAAACAUGUGAAGGUUCGUUUAAAGGUUCGCUUAAGCGACCUGGUAAGCGAACAUUCAUAGUCUUUUCUGGGUUCAGUUCGCUUAAGCGAACUGUGAGCGAGCAAGUAAGCGAACAAAGUGAGUUGCUACUGUAACUUGUUCGCUUAAGCGAACCAGGUGGUCGCUUAAGCGAACAACUCCAGUUUCAGCCACUUUGAUCUUUUGUUCCGGGUCUUUGGGGGCCAAUCCGAGUUUUCUUAAAUGAUGUCUUAAACAUGUUUAACCACUGUUAAUCCUCCAAAACCUAUUGGAACAAUGAUUGCUUGCAUGUACUUGUAAUUUUUGAAAUGAGUCUUAACUUGUGAAAUUUUGAGAAUUCCAAACUUUGUCGAAAACAAAUUUUGUAAUCUAAUAAGGCUUGCAAGUGAACCUACAGCUCAUAUAGACUUAGGUGAUGCUUGCAAGGGUGGUCAAUAUCUUAAUCAAAGUAAAAAUGAUAUUUCGGGUGGGAAGUGAAAGGUUGUGAAAAUGAGAUUUUUCUAUGAACUUAAGUUGUGCUUGGGUUAAUGUUGAUGAUCCGAAGACGACUUAAUUUCAUGUAUACAUUGUCAGUUAAGAUUGAUUAAUUGUUUUAACUUGUCUAUGACUGUUUCGUUUCAAGUUGGUACGGUGAAGUGUUCAUAUGGUUAAGUGAAAUUGUGUGAAUGAUAAUGUUGAAUGACAUUGUUGAUUAUUGAUAAUCAUGUUUAUGUAUGAUGAAUUGUAGAUGUUGAAUAUAAUAUUUAUCAUGUGAUGUUGUUUUCCCUCUUACUUGGAAUAUGAGAAUGCUCGAAUUGGUGAACUAUAUGUGAUAGUUGAUGUUGAAUAUCAUUGUGGAUUAUUGAUGAUCAUGUUGAUGUGAUGAUGGUGAAUACUAUGAUUAUUUGUGUAUGGGCAUGUUUUCUUGAUAAUGCAAUGUUGUGGAGAUAAUCAAUAUAAUUGGGUGUUGUCCUAUAUAUUGAGGUUGAGAUUGUGAAUUGUUGUCGCAUUAUCGAGUCCUUAUACAUAUCCAUGCAUCAUAGUCGUUGUUGCUGUAAUAAAAGGGAUGACUCUUUUACUUCGAGAUUAUUGUAAGGCAGGUGUGAGCCCUUACAUACGAUGUGCAAGUGGCAUCGAAAGGUGACGACCUUGUUGAGAUUUGGUACCACAUGCAUUUAUGUGUCAAUAAGUGCAUAUCAUAACAUGAAUCUUAUGUGAAAUAUAUGAUUGGUGAUGAAAUGAGAUGAAUGACUAUUCAUGAAUAUUUGUGAUUGGUGAUUGUGAAUGAAUAUUUGUGAAUUGAUAUUUGUUCCUGAUACAUGUGAUUGGCGAUUGUUCAUGAAAUAUGAUUAAUGAUUGUUCAUGGCUUAUGAUUGGUGACUGUUCAUGAUGUAUAUGAUUGGUGAUUGUGUAUGAAUAACUGUGAAUUGAUAUUUGUUCAUGACACAUGUGAUUGGUGAUUAUUGAUGUGAGAUAUUGGGGUUUGAUGUAAGUAUUGAUGUGGGAAUAUUAUUAUUGAUCAAGUGCAUGAUGUUUAAAUUGAAAUAUUCAUGUUAUCUGUUAUUUGGAUUAUGAUAAUGUAAUACUUACCCCCAGUGGAUCUGUUAUGGACCGCCUACUUGCCUGUAUGGGUGAGUAGACGUUGUGCAGGUUUAGUUGUUUGGUGAGUUCUUGUGCUUGGUGGAUAUCUGAAGCCUUUUCCGAUAUCGGUGUUUAGAUGUUUAGUCGGCUCUGAUCUAGGCUUGUUGUGUCGGUCUAGAUUAGGUUGUUUAUAUUUUCCUUUGGAUUAUUGUUUUGUUGAUGACUACCCGUAUGUUUGGGUUUUGAGAUUUAUCUUUGGGAUAUGAUUUAUUUGCUCAUGGCAUGUAUAUAUUUGAUCACUCUGAUUUAUAUUCCGCUGCGACUGUUGAGGUUUAUAUACAUGUCUAUCGGUUUUUGAAAUUUUGAAUAAGACGUAAUCUCUAUUUCUUGAAUAAAUGUAUUAUUCGCAUGUUUAAUUGCUUUAAUAGAAAUAGGAGUGUUACAUAUA